rnacentral:rRNA from 1 species
UAAGGAAUAUUGCGCAAUGGGGGAAACCCUGACGCAGCAACGCCGCGUGGAGGAUGACACUUUUCGGAGCGUAAACUCCUUUUAUCAGGAAAGAAUAAUGACGGUACCUGAUGAAUAAGCACCGGCUAACUCCGUGCCAGCAGCCGCGGUAAUACGGGGGGUGCAAGCGUUACUCGGAAUCACUGGGCGUAAAGGACGCGUAGGCGGAUUAUCAAGUCUUUUGUGAAAUCUAGUGGCUUAACCACUAAACUGCUUAGGAAACUGAUAGUCUAGAGUAGGGGAGAGGUAGAUGGAAUUCUUGGUGUAGGGGUAAAAUCCGUAGAGAUCAAGAAGAAUACCCAUUGCGAAAGCGAUCUGCUGGAACCUAACUGACACUGAGGCGUGAAAGCGUGGGUAGCAAACAGG